rnacentral:rRNA from 1 species
AUUGAACGCUGGCGGCAGGCCUAACACAUGCAAGUCGAACGAGCGGCGGACGGGUGAGUAAUGUCUGGGGAUCUGCCUGAUGGAGGGGGAUAACUACUGGAAACGGUAGCUAAUACCGCAUACCAUCAGAUGUACCCAUAGGGGAUUAGCUAGUUGGUAGGGUAACGGCUUACCGAGGCGACGAUCCCUAGCUGGUCUGAGAGGAUGAUCAGCCACACUGGGACUGAGACACGGCCCAGACUCCGACGGGAGGCAGCAGUGGGGAAUAUGGCACAAGGGGCGCAAGCCUGAUGCAGCCAUGCCGCGUGUAUGAAGAAGGCCUUCGGGUUGUAAAGUACUUUCAGUCGGGAGGCGUUACCGGCAGAAGAAGCACCGGCUAACUCCGUGCCAGAAGCCGCGGUAAUAC